rfam:Gossypium arboreum cultivar AKA8401 contig_4519_13, whole genome shotgun sequence.
AUGGAUGUGAUGAUAAUUUCCCCAGAUGAUCGAAGCUGAACAUUCUGUGCGACUUUUUAGAUCUCUAAUUCGUUAGAGAUUCCAAGCCAGAACUCUGAUCCAU